CGCGGGAGCUUCGUCCUGAGGAGGGUUGGUUGUCGCCCGAGUGCCGGCUCCUGCGCAACAAUGGGUUUUCGAGCUCCUGGGAUUCGUGAGUCGCCGCCUCGCUGCGCCCAGGUUCUUGUGAGAAAACGUGAAGGUAGCUGAAUCCAGGCCAGAGAUCAGGAAGAUUUUGACUAACAUUUGCUCAAGAUUCAUUCCUCCCCCGCACAAGCUGAAGAAAUGGAAACUGAGAGAGAUUAAGAAGUGUGUUCAGAUUCACACAGCUGGUAAGGAACCUGAGGCUCGACGAAGUGAUACAAUUUGGCUGAAGACCUAGUAGACAAUAGAGUCAAGACUGGAUCUCAGACCUGAUUCCAAGAUAGAAGCUGUGAACUGGCUUUUGGAAAUGGGCAGGCAAUACCAAACAAUGACUCACUUCUGUCCAGUUACUGACUUCCCAGGAAAUGGUGCCCAGUCUGGAAGCUGAGAUUGUACUACUUUAUUGCUCUACACAAACCAAGCCUUCAUCUGGCCUUAAGGCUCAAAGGAAGACUGUACAGAUAUUGUUCUCCAGUCCUACCUGUAAAACAAAGAUGAAAACACUUAUUCUGUGUCUCAAGGAACUCUACUAGCCUGUGAAGGAGACAGACAUACACACAGAUGAGAAGACUGAGACCAAGAGGCUAAAUGCUGCACCAAGGCCAGGAGGAAGUGCUGAAGCCUUGAUUCAGAUUGAAAACAAUAAGGACUGAGAGAGCUAAUGUAAGUGAAAACUACAGUGGUAAGAAUGAAUGCUGAUUAGGGACCAGAUGGCAAAACUAAGAUACAGCAAGAUUAAGUAAUUUGCUCAAGUCAUGUGGCUGAAGAGUGGCAGGGCGCGGAUUUCAAUCUAGGAAGGCUAUCUUCAGCUCCUGGACUCAGAGUAAAAUGCCCGACAUAGAAGAGAAACUUGAUAAAGUUACGUUUCUUUUACACCUAUAAAUAUGUAAAGAGAUUUAAAAUAAGAAACUGGUCAACACGUUGUCUGAUGAAGGGAAUUUAAUUUCUAGCUUUUAAAGUCCUAGAUUUUGUGGAGAAUAUUGUAUCUGAAUAUUGGGAAGUAUAGAAUGACCUACUUCAAGCAAAGCAGCUUUAAAUAAGGUCUGUUUUAAAUAGCACACCCUAGAGUAUUCACUACAAAAAUUGCGAGCCAUUUAUCAAAUGAGCUACCUGUGUGUGUGUAUGUGUCCGUGUCUGCACAUGCAUGCAUACGGCCGUAGGGGGAUCUCACCCACUGAUUUGUCCUUUUGACAUUUGGUAAAUAGACUUUCUCUAUUGCUUUUGUCUUUAACACCAGAUUAUUUAGUCUGAACUUGACCCUUGAGCUUGAACAUAAAUCAAGGUUAGUCACAUUUUAGGGGAAAAUAUUUAGGCAUCUGCUGAGACCCUUAUUAGAGUUCUAAUUUUUUGUUAUUUGAUAUUUAUCAUAUGAUACAAAUCCCACAAAGGGAAGAA